GAUGAAGAACGCAGCAAAAUGCGAUAAGUAAUGUGAAUUGCAGAAUUCAGUGAAUCAUCGAAUCUUUGAACGCACAUUGCGCCCGCCAGUAUUCUGGCGGGCAUGCCUGUUCGAGCGUCAUUUCAACCCUCAAGCACAGCUUGGUGUUGGGGAUCGGCAGCAGGGCGUCAAGCCCGCCGGCCCCGAAAUCUAGUGGCGGUCUCGCUGUAGUCCUCCUCUGCGUAGUAGCACAACCUCGCAGUUGGAACGCGGCGGUGGCCAUGCCGUUAAACACCCCACUUCUGAAAGUUGACCUCGGAUCAGGUAGGAAUACCCGCUGAACUUAAGCAUAUCAAUAAGCGGAGGA
rnacentral:misc_RNA from 1 species